UAUCAAGGUAAGUUUGAUUGAGAGAGAGAGAGGACGGGUAAAAGUAGGUUUGAUUGAGAGAGAGAGGACGGGUAAGAAACAAAAAUGGUUACAAUGCGAAACAUCCGGGGUUCCGCUCCCCUAUCUUUCCAACGAUCGCGACGAUGAAGCACCCAUUAUUUUGUGUGAUGUAUCGCCACAGCCGCCAAAAUAUUCAGUCCGACUCGGACUGAAAACCUCUACCACCUUCGUCGCCGUCGAGGAAGGAGAGCCAAGGAGGAGAGAAAAUGACGAAAACGUCCUCCUCGGCGGUGCGGGAUUUCUCGUGGAAGUACUGGUGGUAGUGGCACA